AAGUAAUGAAGUAAAAUUUUACAAUUAGUUUCGACCUAAUCCAUGGGAAAUAUCCCCUUACUUA
rnacentral:tRNA from 1 species